ACGAACGCUGGCGGCAGGCUUAACACAUGCAAGUCGAACGCCCCGCAAGGGGAGUGGCAGACGGGUGAGUAACGCGUGGGAAUCUACCGUACCCUACGGAAUAACGCAUGGAAACGUGUGCUAAUACCGUAUACGCCCUUAGGGGGAAAGAUUUAUCGGGGUAUGAUGAGCCCGCGUUGGAUUAGCUAGUUGGUGGGGUAAAGGCCUACCAAGGCGACGAUCCAUAGCUGGUCUGAGAGGAUGAUCAGCCACAUUGGGACUGAGACACGGCCCAAACUCCUACGGGAGGCAGCAGUGGGGAAUAUUGGACAAUGGGCGCAAGCCUGAUCCAGCCAUGCCGCGUGAGUGAUGAAGGUCUUAGGAUUGUAAAGCUCUUUCACCGAUGAAGAUAAUGACGGUAGUCGGAGAAGAAGCCCCGGCUAACUUCGU
rnacentral:rRNA from 1 species